UAAAUUAGGCAUCUUGUCUUUGAUACAGGAGGUAAAAGAAAAAGACUAUUACAUCCCACUGUGACCACAACUGAAAGAAGACAGGCACAGAAUGUAGGCAUCCUUGAAGAAAAUCUUAGCAAAAGACUCUGGUGUCCCUUUGAGACCACAACUCCAGAGAGACAGAGACAGACUGCAGACAUCCCUGAAA